CAAUGCUCGUGUAUGAGUAUAACGUUUCCCUUCUCUGACAGGAGAAAGUGGGCGGCUCGUUUGACUCAGAAGAACGAACAGUACCAAAAAAUUGGAAAAAACAAUAAUCGGAAGAAGAUAACCAACGAAGAUCAGGUUCGAGUUCUAGCCAUUAGAAUUUGUAGUGUGGAAGUUCAGAGAGAAUGGCAAAGCAUCAUCCUGACUUAAUCAUGUGCCGGAAGCAAGCAGGGAUUGCUAUUGGACGGUUAUGUGAGAAAUGUGAUGGAAAGUGCGUAAUUUGUGACUCUUAUGUGCGUCCAUGUACGCUAGUUCGAGUCUGUGAUGAUUGUAACUAUGGAUCUUUCCAAGGUCGAUGUGUUAUCUGUGGAGGAGUGGGUAUUUCUGAUGCUUAUUAUUGCAAAGAAUGUACUCAACAGGAGAAAGACCGAGAUGGGUGCCCAAAAAUUGUCAAUUUAGGAAGUGCAAAAACAGAUUUAUUCUAUGAACGGAAGAAGUACGGCUUUAAGAAAAGAUGACAAGCAGGGAUAGUAAUGUUUUUGGCAUGGUAAAAUUAACAAAUGCCUAUUUCUAAUUUUAAUUUUUUCAACUGAGAUUUUGAUUUGCAAGGACAGGCUCAGAGUUCAUGUCUUACAUCGAUCAGAUCCCAGAAUUGGUAAUUUAUUUGGUUCCUUGUGUUAGCAACUUGGGAUGUAGAGUAUUUGUCAUUUUAUGAUGUGGGGUAAGCUUAGGCUUUCAAUUUUGUUGGAAGGCACUUGUCUUGUUUUAGAUGAUUUAUGAUGUUCUUGUGAGCAAGGUCAUCUCCGCAAUUCAGAUGUCCUCAUCUGGAUCAGAUGAAUUACAUUUGUACUUUUGUGCAUUAGAUCAGCUUCUUAUUUAUGUCGCAUUUGAGUUGUGAAUUGUGACUUCACUCAAUGUUGGCAAUUUAGCAGCUACCUUUGAAUCAUUAAUUGUGCAUUUUGAAGAUUAUUUUCA